rnacentral:rRNA from 1 species
AUUGAACGCUGGCGGCAUGCCUUACACAUGCAAGUCGAGCGAUCUUCUUCGGAAGAGAGCGGCGGACGGGUGAGUAACGCGUGGGUAACCUGCCCUGUACACACGGAUAACAUACCGAAAGGUAUGCUAAUACGGGAUAAUAUGCUUUUAUCGCAUGGUAGAAGUAUCAAAGCUCCGGCGGUACAGGAUGGACCCGCGUCUGAUUAGCUAGUUGGUAAGGUAACGGCUUACCAAGGCGACGAUCAGUAGCCGACCUGAGAGGGUGAUCGGCCACAUUGGAACUGAGACACGGUCCAAACUCCUACGGGAGGCAGCAGUGGGGAAUAUUGCACAAUGGGCGAAAGCCUGAUGCAGCAACGCCGCGUGAGCGAUGAAGGCCUUCGGGUCGUAAAGCUCUGUCCUCAAGGAAGAUAAUGACGGUACUUGAGGAGGAAGCCCCGGCUAACUACGUGCCAGCAGCCGCCGUAA